rnacentral:rRNA from 1 species
CAAUGGACGCAAGUCUGAACCAGCCAUGCCGCGUGAAGGAUGAAGGUCCUCUGGAUUGUAAACUUCUUUUAUCUGGGACGAAAACGGGAUUUUUAUCUCAAUUGACGGUACCCGAGGAAUAAGCAGCAGCUAACUCCGUGCCAGCAGCCGCGGUAAUACGGAGGGUGCGAGCGUUAUCCGGAUUUACUGGGUGUAAAGGGCGUGUAGGCGGGAAAGCAAGUCAGAUGUGAAAACUAUGGGCUCAACCCAUAGCCUGCAUUUGAAACUGUUUUUCUUGGGUGUCGGAGAGGUAAUCGGAAUUCCGUGUGUAGCGGUGAAAUGCGUGGAUAUACGGAGGAACACCAGUGGCGAAGGCGG